ACUUGAUCACUUGGAAGGCUGGUAUGUGGAAAGGUUGGAUGAAAAAAGACGUUCACGACCAGAACACUUUCCAAAAUAUAUCAAUAUACAUCAUGCAGUCCGCUAUCGGCAAGAAGCAGCAUCCAGAUAAAGAUCAAACAAGCCUUUGGACUUAAAGCUGGUGGAUAUUAUGUAAAUAUGUUAGCCAGAGUCCUUAAGGGAGUUGCAAGCAUGCAUUUUCCUGAGUUACCUCAACAAUGGGCAGGAGAAGAAAAAUUUCUAACAAGCCAACUUGAUUUUACAAGUCUACAGAGAUCACCAUGGUGGACUGAUCCAUCUGUGGUGUUACACCCUUAUCUUGAUCAUCAUAGUGUGCUUUUAAUUCAAAUAUUUGGCCUGAAUGCUAUUUAUGUUCCGGAUCCAAGUGGACAGAGACCAGGAAAAGUAAUAUCUCACCCUGGUCAGACCCUGGAGCUUAAUACACAAUCACGGUUAGGCUGGACUGCUGUUCCACUCUUUGACAGUGACUAUGUGAAGAGUGGUGUGCACAGUGGUCCGUUGUUUCGGGGUUCUCCAAGUGCAGAAUUUCUCCAGUCUGUAAUCUCUCUGCCAGUGAAAGAUGUUAUGGCUGAAGGUAUAAAGAAAAAGACAUUAAAACUUUUGCCAACUUUUGGCAGUGUUACUCUUGAGUUUUGGGAUGGUCAUUACUUUGAAGAGGAGCAUUAUCAGCUACCUGUUCUAAACAACCUUCUAACUGUUGCCAACACAAAGAAAUUUGUGGACACUCAAGCAAACAAGAGAGGCCAGGAGCUGUCACAGCUAGUUCUGCACAGUAUGGAUAAAAAAAUAAGAAAAUUGGGACGACAUAGCCCUGAAUAUUAUCAACAAGAGUAUUUCUACAAAGAAGCAAUGGGAAACGCUUUUUACAGUCUUGUGGAAACAGUCCUCUUGAAUGCAGGUUAUGGUCAUCUAUGAGCUUUCCCUUCAAAGGUGAAGAAUAUUGGGUAUCAGAAUGAUCAAAUUCUUGAACUGGAUCAAACAUAUUUUCAAGCUCUACCUAAAACUAAAUAACAAUAUCUUUGGAGAGCAUCAGCCUGGAGCCUUGCUUCCUAUAAUCAUUGAAGGGCUGAAGGUAUCCCCUAACUCCCCCUUCCAGCUUAUUGACUCACUUUGUCAGUAGUUUGUGUGUUAUGAGAAGAUAUCAUUCUUUAGACUCAGAACAGGGAAAGGAACAUUGUUUGCACUGAGAGAAUCAUAGAGAUGACAGUUCUUUUUUUCUAAAGCAUUCAGUGUGUAAUUGCUGAAGACAUUCCAAGCCAUUCUAAUGAAGUGUACUGUCUGCCAGUCUGUGUGCUCUUCCUAGAGAACCAUCUGUUACACCUCAAAUAUCUAAAGGUCUGCCAUCAUUUAUUGCACCAAACAAAUCAGUUUCUUUGUCUGACAUGCAGUAACUUGUGAAUGUGGCCUCCUAGAAGGUAGUUUGUUACCAUGCAAAGCACAGGAUCUUCUGUAUGUUGUUGCCAUAUAAAAAUGUUUUUUCAUGACUCAUCAUAGCAAAUUUCUGAUAUCAGACCUACUGAUUAGAUUUUUAAUUUACUUGAUAACAUAUAUAAAUACUAAAAAAUCCUGAAUGAUUUUUCUCUUUACUCAAUCAUUGUUACAUCAUACGCUUUUUCUUUUGGUAAACCAAACCUUUCUUUGUAAUGCUCUGUAGGUCUUGUGUAUAAAGGCAACCUGGCCUUAUUGUAAUUUGAUUUACUGUUCCUUUAAUUAGAUUAUUUGUAGCUGAAACAAAGCUUUGUUAGCCAAUAACCUAACAAAUCUUGCUGUGUCAUGUUGCUGCAAAUAAAGAUAUUUCAAAUUA